rnacentral:rRNA from 1 species
UACGGAGGGUGCGAGCGUUGUCCGGAAUCAUUGGGCGUAAAGGGCGCGUAGGUGGCCCGGUCAGUCCGUGGUGAAAGCGCGGGGCUCAACCCUGCGUCGGCCAUGGAUACUGCCGCGGCUCGAGCACUGUAGAGGCAGGCGGAAUUCCGGGUGUAGCGGUGGAAUGCGUAGAGAUCCGGAAGAACACCGGUGGCGAAGGCGGCCUGCUGGGCAGUUUGGCUGACACUGAGGCGCGACAGCGUGGGGAGCAAACAGG